AUGUACCGCGCGUACAGUCCGGCUCCUCCGCGCCGUCCUUACCCACCUGAGGAGCGCUCGCGACGUUUUGUGAGCC
rnacentral:sRNA from 2 species